UCGGGAAUUUUGGGCAAUGGGCGAAAGCCUGACCCAGCAACGCCGCGUGAAGGAUGAAGUAUUUCGGUAUGUAAACUUCGAAAGAAUGGGAAGAAUCAAUGACGGUACCAUUUAUAAGGUCCGGCUAACUACGUGCCAGCAGCCGCGGUAAUACGUAGGGACCAAGCGUUGUUCGGAUUUACUGGGCGUAAAGGGCGCGUAGGCGGCAAUUCAAGUCAUCUGUGAAAUCUCCGGGCUUAACUCGGAACGGUCAGAUGAUACUGCUUUGCUAGAGUGCAGAAGGGGCAAUCGGAAUUCUUGGUGUAGCGGUGAAAUGCGUAGAUAUCAAGAGGAACACCUGAGGUGAAGACGGGUUGCUGGGCUGACACUGACGCUGAGGCGCGAAAGCCAGGGGAGCAAACGGGAUUAGAUACCCUUGUAGUCCCUGAGCGGGCUGGCAAGGCGCAU
rnacentral:rRNA from 1 species